CUGGAGGUAUCAGAAGUGCGAAUGCUGACAUAAGUAACGAUAAAGCGGGUGAAAAGCCCGCUCGCCGGAAGACCAAGGGUUCCUGUCCAACGUUAAUCGGGGCAGGGUGAGUCGACCCCUAAGGCGAGGCCGAAAGGCGUAGUCGAUGGGAAACAGGUUAAUAUUCCUGUACUUGGUGUUACUGCGAAGGGGGGACGGAGAAGGCUAUGUUGGCCGGGCGACGGUUGUCCCGGUUUAAGCGUGUAGGCUGGUUUUCCAGGCAAAUCCGGAAAAUCAAGGCUGAGGCGUGAUGACGAGGCACUACGGUGCUGAAGCAACAAAUGCCCUGCUUCCAGGAAAAGCCUCUAAGCAUCAGGUAACAUCAAAUCGUACCCCAAACCGACACAGGUGGUCAGGUAGAGAAUACCAAGGCGCUUGAGAGAACUCGGGUGAAGGAACUA
rnacentral:rRNA from 1 species